GAUGAACGCUAGCUACAGGCUUAACACAUGCAAGUCGAGGGGAAACGAUAUUGGAAGCUUGCUUCCGAUAGGCGUCGACCGGCGCACGGGUGAGUAACGCGUAUCCAACCUGCCCAUCACUUGGGGAUAACCUUGCGAAAGUAAGACUAAUACCCAAUGACGUCUCUAGAAGACAUCUGAAAGAGAUUAAAGAUUUAUCGGUGAUGGAUGGGGAUGCGUCUGAUUAGCUUGUUGGCGGGGUAACGGCCCACCAAGGCAACGAUCAGUAGGGGUUCUGAGAGGAAGGUCCCCCACACUGGUACUGAGACACGGACCAGACUCCUACGGGAGCAGCAGUGAGGAAUAUUGGUCAAUGGGGCGAGAGCCUGAACCAGCCAAGUCGCGUGGAGGAAGACUGCCCUAGGGUUGAACUCCUUUACCNGGAAUAACGGGCGCUACGCGUAGCG
rnacentral:rRNA from 1 species